rnacentral:rRNA from 1 species
AGAGCGCAAGGGGAAUGCCUUGGCAUCAGGAGCCGAAGAAGGACGCGACAAGCUGCGAAAAGCCACGGGGAGGAGCAAAUAUCCCUUGAUCCGUGGAUAUCCGAAUGGGGAAACCCGGCACGGCAAUACCGUGUCAGCGUGCUGUGAAUAAAAUAGCAGUACGCGGGGAACCGCCUGAACUGAAACAUCUAAGUAGGGCGAGGAAAAGACAUCAACCGAGAUUCCGCUAGUAGUGGCGAGCGAACGCGGAGGAGGCCAAACCGAGGGUCUUUCGGGAUCUUCGGGGUUCGGACCUGCAUCAUGAUCAGAGGUAUCUAGUUGAACGGCGUGGGAAAGCCGGCCACAGAGGGUGAGAGUCCCGUAAACGAAAGAGAAGACUGACAGCGGGUAUCCAGAGUACCGCCGGACACGUGAAACCCGGUGGGAAGACGGGUGGACCACCAUCCAAGCCUAAAUACUACCUGAUGACCGAUAGAGGAGCAGUACCGUGAGGGAAAGGUGAAAAGGACCCCGGGAGGGGAGUGAAAGAGAACCUGAAACCUUGUGCUUACAAGCACUCAAAGCACGUUAAAGUGUGAUGAGGUACCUUUUGUAGAAUGGUCCGGCGAGUUAUUGUUACUGGCAAGCUUAAGGUAUUCAGUACCGGAGGCGAAGGGAAACCGAGUGUGAAUAGCGCGUAUGAAGUCAGUGGCAAUAGACCCGAAACCGGGUGACCUAUCCAUGGGCAGGUUGAAGUGGGGGUAAAACCCCAUGGAGGACCGAACCGACCCCCGUUGCAAUGGUGGCGGAUGACUUGUGGGUAGCGGUGAAAUUCCAAUCGAACUCGGAGAUAGCUGGUUCUCCCCGAAAUAGCUUUAGGGCUAGCCUCGAUUUAGAUUACCGGGGGUAGAGCACUGAAUGGGCUAGGGGGCCACAAAGCUUACCGAACCCUAUCAAACUUCGAAUACCGGAUAAUUGAUGAUCGGGAGUCAGACAGUGUGAGAUAAGUUUCAUUGUCGAAAGGGAAACAGCCCAGAUCUACGACUAAGGUCCCAAAGUUCAAGUUAAGUGGAAAAGGAUGUGCAAUUGCGUAGACAACCAGGAUGUUGGCUUAGUAGCAGCCAUUCAUUCAAAGAGUGCGUAAUAGCUCACUGGUCGAGUGAUUGUGCGCCGAAAAUGUAACGGGGCUAAACUUGACACCGAAGUCUAGGCAGAAGUAAACUUCUGGGUAGGGGAGCAACGUGUACGGGCAGAAGCAGAAGCGGAAGCGACUGUGGACUGUACAGGAGAGAGAAUGCCGGCAUGAGUAGCGAGAGCAAAGUGAGAAUCUUUGCCGUCGAAAGCCUAAGGUUUCCUGAGGAAGGCUCGUCCUCUCAGGGUAAGUCGGGACCUAAGCCGAGGACAAUAGUCGUAGGCGAUGGACAAUCGGUUAAUAUUCCGAUACCGCCGAGCAACCGGAUGCAGUGACACAGAAGGAUAGGCAGAGCGUGGCGAUGGUAGACCACGUCCAAGCAGUGAGGCUGUUGUGUAGUGAAGUACGCACGACGGAAGGCUGGGCUGUGAUGGGGAACGAUUACGAUCGGUAAGCUGCUGAAUUCACGCUGGCGAGAAAAGCUGCUACGAAGCGAAGGCGCCCGUACCGCAAACCGACACAGGUAGGCGAGGAGAGAAUCCUAAGACGAGCGGGAGAACCCUUGUUAAGGAACUCGGCAAAAUGACUCCGUAACUUAGGGAGAAGGAGUGCCCAGGAAUGGGCCGCAGAGAAUAGACCCAAGCGACUGUUUACCAAAAACACAGGUCUGUGCGAAGUAGAGAUACGACGUAUACGGGCUGACACCUGCCCAGUGCCGGAAGGUUAAGGGGAAAUGUUAGGGCAACCGAAGCAUGGAACUUAAGCCCCGGUGAACGGCGGCCGUAACUAUAACGGUCCUAAGGUAGCGAAAUUCCUUGUCGGGUAAGUUCCGACCCGCACGAAUGGCGUAACGACUUGGGCGCUGUCUCAACAGGGGACCCGGCGAAAUUGUACUAUACGUGAAGAUGCGUAUUACCCGCGACUGGACGGAGAGACCCCGUAGAGCUUUACUGUAGCUUGAUAUUGGAAUUCGGUAAUUUAUGUACAGGAUAGGUGGGAGACUUGGAAACAUGGGCGUCAGCUCAUGCGGAGUCAACCUUGGGAUACCACCCUUGAAUUAUUGGGUUUCUAACACCAGACCGUAAUCCGGCUGGUGGACAGUGUCAGGUGGGCAGUUUGACUGGGGCGGUCGCCUCCCAAAAUGUAACGGAGGCGUUCUAAGGUUCCCUCAGGAUGGUUGGAAAUCAUCCAUAGAGCGUAAAGGUAGAUAGGGAGCUUAACUGCGAGACAGACAUGUCGAGCAGAUACGAAAGUAGGACUUAGUGACCCGGCGGUUGAGUAUGGAAUUGCCGUCGAUUAACGGAUAAAAGUUACCUCGGGGAUAACAGGCUUAUCUCCCCCAAGAGUUCACAUCGACGGGGAGGUUUGGCA